CAGCACCUCAAGUGGUCAGGAUGAUUAUUGGGCCUAAAGCAUCCGUAGCCGGCUCUAAGUUUUCGGUUAAAUCUGUACGCUCAACGUACAGGCUGCCGGGAAUACUGCAGCGCUAGGGAGUGGGAGAGGUAGACGGUACUCGGUAGGAAGGGGUAAAAUCCUUUGAUCUAUUGAUGACCACCUGUGGCGAAGGCGGUCUACCAGAACACGUCCGACGGUGAGGGAUGAAAGCUGGGGGAGCAAACCGGAUUAGAUACCCGAGUAGUCC
rnacentral:rRNA from 1 species